rnacentral:rRNA from 1 species
UGCCAGCCGCCGCGGUAAUACGAACCGGGCAAACGUUAUUCGGAAUUACUGGGCUUAAAGGGUGCGUAGGCGGCGCUAUAAGUCGGGUGUGAAAUCCCACGGCUCAACCGUGGAACUGCGCCCGAUACUGUAGUGCUUGAGGAAGAUAGAGGUGAGCGGAACGAAUGGUGGAGCGGUGAAAUGCGUUGAUAUCAUCUGGAACACCGGUGGCGAAAGCGGCUCACUGGAUCUCUUCUGACGCUGAGGAACGAAAGCUAGGGUAGCGAACGGGAUUAGAUA